GUUCCAGGAGCACGGUGGUUGUGCGUCGGAUUGCAAUUCAAACACUGAAGAUCCGCAGGUCAUGUGUUCGACUCACAUCUGGAACU